rnacentral:rRNA from 1 species
GAGGCAUAUGCCCCCUCCCCGCCCCGCCCUCCUCGGGUGCCCCGCGGCUCCCCGCCCGNNNNNNUAUGACUCUCGGCAACGGAUAUCUUGGCUCUCGCAUCGAUGAAGAACGUAGCGAAAUGCGAUACUUGGUGUGAAUUGCAGAAUCCCGCGAACCAUCGAGUCUUUGAACGCAAGUUGCGCCCGAGGCUAUCCGGCCGAGGGCACGCCUGCCUG